rnacentral:rRNA from 1 species
GCAGCCGCGGUAAUACGUAGGGGGCUAGCGUUAUCCGGAAUUACUGGGCGUAAAGGGUGCGUAGGUGGUUUCUUAAGUCAGAGGUGAAAGGCUACGGCUCAACCGUAGUAAGCCUUUGAAACUGGGAAACUUGAGUGCAGGAGAGGAGAGUGGAAUUCCUAGUGUAGCGGUGAAAUGCGUAGAUAUUAGGAGGAACACCAGUUGCGAAGGCGGCUCUCUGGACUGUAACUGACACUGAGGCACGAAAGCGUGGGGAGCAAACAGGAUUAGAAACCCC